rnacentral:lncRNA from 1 species
CCAUUUUAAACCCACUUUCUUCAUCUAAAAUAUUCAUAAUAUCCUCAAAACCCCAAAUAUUAGGCCUGAAUCUCCCCUCACUUAUUCAAUAAUAGAUCUCACCGUCUUCUUUCCCUCUUCAGGCAAGAAUACAGACCCCUUUCACCAUGGAUGAAUUUUGCUUCUCCAUUUUUGUGUAAUGGCUAUGUCAAUCACUUGAAGGACCAAGUCCAUCCAAGCUCACAACUCCCAACGUUUCAAAUUCAAAUGACUGAAAAAGAUCCUUCCCAAAAUCAAGAACCCUAGUUCUUCACCUAUAAAUACUCAAUUUUUUAGUCCAAAAAAAAUUCGGCCACAUAUCCCCUCAUAAAGCUCGCUGUAUAACUUCUGCUUGCAUCUCUCUGUCUCGGCCUUUGGAUUUUAGUCUUGGCGAAGAUUUUUGGCCGGCCAUACACGAUUUCAAUUCUAGGCUCUAAAAUGCCCUAGUUCACUGCUCCACGCAAGGUCAGUAGUUGUCCUCUUAGUUCAUUUUAGUUUCUCAUAUAUUUUGCUUCUACGUGUAUAGCAACAUUUGCUAAUUUCCCUUUUUCUUUUAGUAUUUUGAGCAUAGUAUUGGUAGUCAGGAUAUCUAUUGUCAAAUCUUGAUGCUUUAAAACGUUUCAAGUUGUCAUCUUGCUCUUUUGAUUCUAUUAGAAAUCAUGUGCUAUCACCUUUUUUGCAUUAUUUUUCUGUCGCAAUUACCACUUAGGUCCUAGACACGUGACAAAUCACUGCUUGCCUAGUUUCUAUUUAGUUAUUAAUAAAGCAAAUUUAAGAUGUUAUCCUUCAGUCAUGUAUUGUAUAUUUAUUCAGAAAGAAGCCUUAUUCUAUAUAUUUUAACAUCUUUAGUCCCACGUUAGAGAAUGCAAUUGGAUUUAAAAGUCUUUAUUUGUCUCACGACCAAUGUUUUAUUUCACGUCUGAACUAGUAGUAGGAUAAUGAACUAGGCACUUAAGUUUUUUUUUUUUAGUCAUAAUGUUUAACUGCUAGGAAGGACCAACGUUUUGAAAGUGAUAAAAUGCUCUCAUUUAUAGAUCAGGUGUCAUUUUUUUCACUUUUUGCAAAGAAUGGUAAGCUUGCAAUAGAAUCCAUGGUUAGGCAAUCUAAAGGCGAUGUUGAAACAUUGGUUGGGACUACAAAAAUAAAUCACAGCAUAGGACACUCACUUAUUUAAACUGUUUCACCAUUGUGAAUACUUGCUUCUGGGCAAUUCCUUACCAACCCGCAAAUUCUUAAACAUUAAUUGCAAGCCUUAAUAUACAAGAGCUUUAUACGUUUCGAUUUUGCUUGUUCUUUACCUGUUUGGAAUUUACUUUAAAUAUUUCAUUUGGUAAAGAUACUUGUCAAGUCUCUUGUGUUCUUUCCUCGUAAUGAUAAGGUAGCAAAUACUCUAAGUACCUCCUGGCUUUUUGUACGAAUUUGAAUUUUUUCCUUUUUCCUUUAUAUGUGCAUUUUGAAAUUCCAAUAUUUUCUUUCUCGUAUGAUUGCAAUAUAUAACUAUCUUCAUUACUUAUUCUUUAUUUUCUCCUUUCUUUACAUGUACGUUUUGGAGCAAAUGGAGUCUUAAUCCAAGACUCUAGCUAGUGAAGUCUCAAAAUGAGACGACCUUACCCCUAAUCCGAGCAAGGAGAUAUAUUCUAUACCCUCAAGUCAAAUUCGUUAGCAAUUUAAAGCCUCUUAUGUUCCUUCAAUCUCUAUUUUCUUUGUAUACAUAUGUCAUAUUGUCUUUCAUUACUUUCUUUGGAGCGGGUACAAUGUUGGCUAACCAAGUGGAAUAUUUUGUGACUCAGAUGACGUUGGCAUCGAAUUUCUUGAAGACUCCUUCCUUAACUUUCAAACUAAAAUUAGGCUUCAUCUUUCUCAGCUUUUACUUUAUGAGAGGACAAGAUGGAUCAUUUGGCAACCUAUGAGCAACAAUAUCUAUGCUUAGACCCAUCAUAUCAUCAUAGGACCAUGCAAACACAUAUACCAAUUAAUUCAUUCCUUUGGGAUGGAGUCAAAUGAACGCUAAUCCUUGUUUCUCUUAUGAAAUCUGAAUUCCUUAAGUUUAUCGUCUCAGUUUCAUCCAAAUUUAGUUUUGCCUUAUUUUUAAAAUAUUCAAAUUCCUUGAUCAACUCUUCAGACAUCGUGUCUUCUUCACAUUCUGCAAAGUCUUGUUCGCUAUUUAGAAUUGUUUAGCUUAUUUCGCUACAUGUCACAUUCAUAGUAUUAGCAGAUUUGUUAGUUUGCUUGCUAAAAAGGGAAAAAGAGAAGAUAAAUUAAUAAAGACGAUUUGAAAUGAAAGCAACAAAACAUAGUUUGGAUUUGGCAUUUAAGCUUUCAAAAAUGGAGGCAAAACACAUGAAUUUAUAAACAUGAUUCAGGCUUCAAUUUUGAAUCAUGUUGUAUCAUUCAUACUAAUACAAUCAUCUACCAAGAUUCCCGGAGAUUUAGGGAUGGGGUAUAAGUCCAAUUGUUCAAAGCAUCUCCAGGCUCAGCAUCCCAGAUAGUCAGGGUCUCAAUGCAAUCCUACAGAAUCGCAUUUCACUCAGCUUCUUCUUCAGUAAUGAACAAGCUUUUGACUCCUUCAAUGAGGUCUUCUUCAGCAUAUUCUUCUGAUACUUGGGCAACAAACGCUUUGGAAAAUGAUUGAUUCAGUAGUGGGACAGGCUUUGGCAGGAGAAUGUCACCUAUCCUUUUGAGAUAAUCCAACGAGACUUCUUCAGGAGUAGGCUAAUAUCCAAGACCAAAAAUGCUCGUCUUUCCGAACAAAUGAAUUGGAUCUAGUAUUCUAUCCAAGUUCACGCCAACACCUUGACCAGGCAUAAAACCAUUCUUCAACAUUUCUAUGGCCACCAUCAUAAGUGCCCGUGGCAACUUUAAACUUUUUACCUAAGCAGUACAUAUGAUCUCCUUAACAUGAAAAAUGAAUCCAUCCAACUUUUCCACACGUUCAAUAAUAGGGACUAGUUCUCCUGGUAGAUAGAACUAUUUUUCUCUCUAUGAAUCACAAUAUCAUGAUAAUCCCAAAUAAAUUUUAAAGUUUGGUGCAGGGUAGAAGGGACUGCGCCAGCACUGUGAACCCACAAUCUUCUAAGUAACAAAUUAUAACUAGCACAUAUGUCCAACACUUGAAAUUCCAUAGGUCCAAUUUGUAGUGCCAAAUCAAUUUCUUCAAUGAUUCACCUUUAACCCUCACAUUACUUUCACGAACCUUCCCAAUAUCAAUUUCUAAAGCCCGAAGAGUGGUAAAGGGCAAAUGUUAACAGUUGAGCCAUUGUUAAGAACUUUAGAAAUGAACUUGUUCCUACACUUGACAGUAAUGUUAAAUACUAUAUUGUGCCCCAGUCCCUCAGGUGGCAACUCAUUUUUAUGAAAAGAGACUAUAUUAGCUUCCAGAAAUUGACUCACCAAAGGUGAAAGAUUCUCUCUAGUAAUCUCAGUUGGAGCACAAGCUUUAUUCAACACCUUUACCAGAGCACACUUAUGAGUUACAGAAUUCAUCAAUAAUGACAAUAAGGAGAUUUGGGCAGGAGUUUUAUUUAGCUGUUCCACAACAGAAUACUCCUUAGUUGGCAUUUUCCUCAAGAAAUCCUCUACCUCAGCCUCUGUCAUGGCUUUUUUUUUUUUGAAUAUUCUUUUUACUUGGCACUUCUCUCACGACUCCUUCAGGGACAUAACAACGCCUGGAUCUUAUCAUUCCUACAGCAGUGGCUUCUACAACUAAGUUUUCCUUUCCUCUGUCCCCUGCAUUAGUUGAGUAAUUGUAAGGAACUAUUUUAGUAUCUGAAGGUUUUUAGCAACUAAGGCUGUGAUAGUAGGCCUGUGGCCAAGAAUUUCUACUUCAAUGGGCGCUCGCAUCUGGACUGUAACUAUAGGCGCAAUGAAAGCUGAUGUUUCAAUCUUUUUCUUAUCACUUAUAAAUACCAUAGUUUCUUUCAAAUUACAUUCUUCGUCAAUGGUGAUCAUGUUCACAUGGGCAUCCCCAUGAUUUGGCAAGGGAUUGUUGUUCACAUUGGGGGGAGCCCAUUUGAGCUGAAUAGCUCCUUUGAUUAGUGCCUCAAUACUAUCCUUGAGAGUAAGGCAAUCCUCAAUGUCAUGUCCAGCAACCCCGAAGUGAUAAACACAAUGCUUUGUCCCCUCAUACCAUUGGGAAUUCUACCUUGGAUCGGCUGGAGUACUCAUGCGGCUCUCAAUCUCUUAUAUAGUUGAGAUAAGAGUUCAGCUAGAGGUGUAUAGGUUUUGGUUGGCCUUUUUUCAUAGUUUAGGCAAAGUUUGGGGGAAUUUGGAGGAUGAUUUUAUGGAUGGUAGCGAUUUUAAGGUGUCUAGUUAGGCUAAUAUUAUGGUGGAUUUUGAUAGGUGGGUGCUCCAGAUGGGCAAUAUGCCAGCUGGAUGGUAUAAACUGGAUAUGGGGUAGGUAAAGGUUGGUAAUAUGGAUGAGGAUUUUGGGCAUAUUGAUUAUAGUAGGAAGGAUGGGGUGGCAAAUUUUGGUAUGUUAACAUUUGGUUCGAUUUUUUUUCUUGAAUAGUCAUGACAGCAAAAACUCCACAUUUUUCUGUUUAUUCACUCCCCCAGUUGUAUCAUACUGAAUUGCCUUACUUGUUUCUUGAAAAACUACUAGAGUAGUGAUUCUCCCAGUUUUAAUACCUUCUUCAACGAAUUCUCCUAUCCUAACAACUUUAGAGAAUUUCUGCGCAACCACGCUUAUCAACUUGUCAUAAUAUGUCGCAUCUUUUUAAGACUGCACAAAAAAGAAGUCAUCUCGCUUUCCACCAUCAGAGGUUGAACUUUUGAGGUAUCUACUCUCCACCACAUGCCAUAUUCUUUGAAGGACUUUGUCAAUUUAUUUCCCAUCUUCAUUAGAUGGAACCUAUUCAAUAUACCUUUAGUAUUAACUUGAACCUAUCCAUAAAUUCUUGUGCCAAAGCAUUCCAACCACGCUAUUUCCUUGGAUUUUGUCUCGUGUACCAAUCUAGAUCUUCUCCUAUCAAACUCAUUAUAAACAACUUUAUUCCAAUGGCCUUAUUCUCCCCUACUCCCACUAACUUGUCACAAUAUGACCUUAAAUGAGCUAUAGGAUUCCUUUUUUCAUCAAACAUAUCAAAUUUUGGCACCUUAUACCCUACCAACAACUCAACAUUUGGAUGAACACAUAAAUCUUCAUACUCACGUCCUUCACAUCCUUUCUGUUAUUAGAUGCUUCUAAACGUUUUCUUUAAACCAUGAAUCUCCUUUGCUACAUUUUCAUCUACUUUGGACCUUGCCUCUUUCUCCAUCUCCUCAUAAGGAUCAACUUCUUGCGUGGUUGGCAUCGGGAUAGUAAAAGGUUGAGCUCCCUCUACAUAUAUGUAAUACCCCGCAUGUUUCUAAGUUAGGAAGUGAAUAAGUAUUCCUACGUAUGAAAUCUUCUAUCCUGUGAUUCAUACUUGAGUAUAUGACUUACAAUGAAUAUCUUAGUGAUAUGAUAGCUUAUGAUGCAUUAAGCAUGUUCAUAUGAGUCACUUAAGGUAAUACAAGCUAAGAGUUUUUGAAUCCAUCAAGUUUUAGUGUUUGAUUUUGCAAGGGUCAUCUUUGAACGAGUAUAACUAGAUGUUAAUAUGGUAUUUUGGCUGAUUUAGACCCACCAAAUUGUANNNNNNNNNNNNNNNNNNNNNNNNNNNNNNNNNNNNNNNNNNNNNNNNNNNNNNNNNNNNNNNNNNNNNNNNNNNNNNNNNNNNNNNNNNNNNNNNNNNNNNNNNNNNNNNNNNNNNNNNNNUAGGCGAUUGGUUAGGCGCUGCCCAACGUAGCUUAGGCAAUCACUUGGGCUCCGCCUAAGUUAGUUCAAGGUGCAAAAAACACUCGGUUUUGAGUUAUUUUAUGGGUAAUUAAGUCUUUUAACACUCCUUACACGUCCCUAAACUUAACCCUACGAAAUAUAUAGCUUCUAAACAUAUUACAGACCUAUUAUCAUCUCAAAGCUCAUCAUCCAAGAGCACAAAAAGAGAAAAACAACUGGUGUUGCAUAACUAAGCUUGAAGAUCCGAUUUCAAAGAAAUUGCUCCGUCAAUCAACAAGAAUCUUCUUUCUAAGGUAUGUGUGAGUUGAUUUAUGGAUCUCUUUCAUCCAUAAAGCUCAAAAACCCUCUUUUUCAUUAUGAUUUCUAUAUUGUUGGGUGUUGAUGAUCAUGUUGUUGAUAUUGGGUGAUUCCCAAGAUGGAAUCUUUAUAUGUUUUCAUGAAUUCAUGAUAUCAUAUGAGUUGGAAACAUGUAAAUUUGGUUGUUCAUGAUGUAUAAUUUGAUGAUUUCACCUAUGCUUAAGAUGUGCAUAUAAGGUGUUUGAUAAAAUGCCUAAGAAACUAGAAAUCAUACAAUAUAGAUAAAUUGUGACUAAGUGAAGGAUUCAUGAUAUGCCCUUAUGUUCCAAUGACUCCUAUGUUGAUAAUGUGCCUUGUAAAUGUUGUUGGAAUACUCAUGAACUAUUCUUAUGAGAUUAUGCUAUAUUUACUUGCAAAUCCUACUUAUGAACAAGAUGUAUGAUAACCAUGCAAUCCACAUGAACUUUCAUGCUAUUGGUAUGUGUUGCCAAUAUGAUUAUGCAAUGAACAUGAUAUUAAGAUUGUGCAAGUACUUCCAUAUGAUAUGAAAUUCUUUCCAUGUAUGAUUCCAUAGACUUCAGUCAGUCAUGUGACUCAGGAAAAUCUCAUGAUCUUAGUCAGUUGUCAGAUAUCAGUAACAUUCCUCCAGUCAAUGGAAUUCAGAAAGAUUAACUCAUGCGCAGUCAGUUAUUCAUGUCCAGUCCCUCCAGAUAGGAGUAGAGGUUCGCAUCGAGUGAACCCAAAGAUGGGAACUCACCCGUCAGUUCAGGGUGUGAUUCUUAGUAGUCAUCUUUGUGUUCCAGAACUACGUAGCCAGCAUUGGUUAAGACAUCUUAAUCCAUCAGAUUAAGGUUGACGAGGUGGCUUAACCCGUCAGUUUAGGGUUCCCACCAUUCUGAUUGAGUACCCGCCAGAUAAGGGUCACUCACAGGCUGUCCUUACCCAUGGCACGGUAUUGACACCCCUCCAGUCGGGGCAGAGAUUGGACCCCAGCUUAGCCAAAACGACAUACAUGGGUCAUGUCGGUUAAACACUACUUCCCACAAUUUCAGUAUUAGUCUCAGUAAAAAAACUCAGGGCGUUCUUCAGAUUUCAGUAUAUACAGGACUGUUAGAUACAGUCGUCCAUGUUAUCAGUUUUAGUAUCAGUCGUGACAGUUAUCAGUAAACCAUGUAUUAGCUUACAGGUCAUGCUAUCACGUAUUCACGAUCCCAGUUUCUAUAUAUGUGUGUUUGAACUCCCACAUUCAUAUUAGUUAGUCAGUGUUGUUCAUUCAUGAAACCCUUUAUGUUCAGCCUACCUUCCUCGUAUACUCAGUACGCCAAAUAAUUGAGAUUAUUAUAAAUCGAUCCAAGCCAUUAAUUCGGGACAAGCUUUGAGUUUGAAAAUAAUAAACAAGUUUCAUUUGAAUACUAAUCGAGUACAAUGAUAAGAAAUAAUAAGAUAUGCUAAUUAUUUAUAAGAAGAUGAGAAAACUUUAGAAGAACCUCGCCAUAAAAAUCUAGUUUUCAAAAUUAUCAAAGACAAUUUUUAUAAGACCUCGUAGAAGUGAUGCAACCUUAUUUUUUUGGUCAAAAGUGAGUUAUUUAAAAUCUUUCUAGGAAGUUAUUAGGUUUCAUUGUAAGUAGGAAAGACAUAGAAUUAGAUCUUUUAAAAGUAAAGGUUAUCCAAGACUUGUCUCUUCCAAGAAAUCAAAAGGACAUGAUGAGUUUCCUAGGUUGGCUCAAUUACAUCAGUCGAUUUAUUGCACAAUCUACGGUGAUUUAUGAAUCUAUAUUCAAGAUGUUGAGAAAGGGCACUGCUACUAGGUGGACAGAAGAUUGCAUGCAGGCUUUUGACAGAAUCAAGGAGUAUUUGUCUAAUCCGCCCGCUUUAGUACCUCAGAACCCGAAAGGCCAUUGUUGCCUAUAUUUGUCUGCGUCAGACAAGCCAUUUGGGUGUGUUUUAGGACAACAUGAUGAAUCCAGAAAGAAAGAGCAAGCUAUAUAUUACUUUAGCAAGAAGUUCACACUUUAUGAAGCAUGGUAUACAUUAUUGGAGCAUACAUGUUGUGCCUUGACUGGGAUUGCACAAAAGUUAAGGCAUUACAUGUAUGCAUAUACUACUUUUCUAAUUUCUAAAAUGGAUCCGCUCAGGUAUAUCUUUUAGAAGCCCAUGCCUAUCGGGAAGAUAGUAAAGUGACAAAUUUUGCUAAGUGAAUUUGACAUUGUCUACGUUACUCAAAAGGCUGUCAAAGGACAAGCUUUAGCCGAUCAUCUUGCUGAAAACCCUAUAGAUGAAGAGUGCCAGCCUCUUAAAACUUAUUUCCCAGGUGGAAAAGUUUUAUUUAUUAGAGAAGAUAUAUCACAGGAAUAUCCAAGCUGGAGAAUGUUCUAUGAUGGGGCUGCAAACUUUAAAGGAAUUAGUAUUGGGAAGUAUUAAUUUCAAAAUUGGGCUAGCAUUACCCAAUCUCAGUAAAGCUAAGGUUUCCAUGCACUAACAAUAUGGUAGAGUAUGAGGCUUGCAUUUUCGAUCUUAGAAUGACUGUUGAUAUGAACAUACAAGAACUCUUGGUUAUAGCGGAUUCAGAUUUAGUGGUGCAUCAAGUACAAGGUGAAUGGAGUGUCAAGAACGUAAAGUUGCUUCCAUAUUUGGAGUGUGUGAAAGAGUUGCGCAAAAAGUUCAUCAAGAUUGAAUUUUAACGUAUCCCGAAAACUCCAAAAUAAGUUAGCAGAUGCAUUACGACCUUAUCAUCUAUGAUUCAACAUCUAGACAAGAAUUUCAUAAAUCCUAUCAAGAUAAAUAUACAAGACCAAUUGACCUCCUUGGCUAGCGCACUACUAUGACAUUAAGAGGUAUCUCAAGAAAGGAGACUAUGCAUAAGGCAUAAUUAGUAUUCAGAAGAGAACACUCCGGAGAUUGGAAAAUCACUUUUUCCUAAAUGGAGAAAUACUUUAUAGGAGGACCCCACAUUUAGGAUUGUUAAGGUAUGUCGACGCUCAAGAGGCGAACAGGUUAGUCGAAGAAAUAUAUGGGGGCAUAUGUGGCCACAUAUGAAUGGUUUUGUUUUGGCAAAGAAGAUUCUUUGGGCUGGUUAUUUUUGGAUGACAAUGGAAACAGAUUGAAUUCACUUUUUGCAAAGAUGACAUCCAUGUCAGAUUAUAGUGAUUUGAUUUACGUUCCACCAAAUAAACCUAAUGUGAUGAGUUCUCCCUAACCGUUUGCAGCCCGGGGCAUGGAUAUCAUCGAUCCUAUUGAGCCAGUUGUAUCAAAUGGACAUAGAUUUAUUUUGGUAACUAAUGAUUAUUUCACUAAAUGGGUAGAAGCUUCUUCGUACAAGUCUAUAACAAAAUAAGUUGGUGAUAGAUUUUGUUUGCAAUAACAUUAUUUGUCGCUUUGGAGUUCUGGAGUCAAUUAUAACAGAUAAUGGAUCUAAUCUCAAUAGUGUCUUGAUGCAUGAGAUAUGUGAGAAGUUUAGGAUUAUUUAUCGUAAUUCCACUGCUUACCGUCUUCAGAUGAAUAGAGCUGUUGAGGCUGCCAACAAGAACAUUAAAUGGAUAUUGCGGAAAAUGUUUGAUAACUAUAAGCAUUGACAUGAGCAUUUUUCAUUUGCCCUCCUUGGCUAGCGCACUACUAUUAGGACUUCUAUUGGAGCAACACUUUAUCUUUUGAUUUAUGGAAUAAAAGUUGUAUUGCCCUCCGAAGUGGAGAUACCAUCUUUAAGAAUCAUUCAGGAAGCAGAAUUGACUGAUGCCAAGUGGAUUCAAAAUUGGUAUAAACAAUUGAUGCUAAUUAAUGAAAAGUGGAUGAACGCAGAUUGUCAUAGCAACUUUAUCAAAAUAGAAUGGCCAAAGCUUUCAACAAGAAUGUAAGAUCGAGAUAAUUCAAACUGGGACAAUUGGUAUUGAAGUGCAUAUUUUCACACCAAAAUGAAGCUAAGGGUAAUUUUGCACCUAACUGGCAAUGGCCUUACAUGGUUCAUCGAAUACUGACCGCCGGAGCAUUGAUCCUAGCAGAAAUGGAUGGUGAAGUGUAGACGAAAGCCAUUAAUGCAGAUGUUGUUAAGAGAUACUAUGUCUAGAAGCAUUUAUUUAUUUUUGUAAUGUUCUUCUUUUCUUUCAAUGUAAUGAAACUACGAAUGACCUAGUUCCUUCGGGAGAAUACGUAGGAAACUAACGUUGGGUUUGGUCUCUUAGUAGAAAUUUUCAAAAAUCCCUCUUUUCUUGUAAUGCGAACUGCGGUUCACCUGACUUCCUAGGCGGAUAUGUAGGCGGCCACAUAGGUCUCGGUCACAUUAGAAUUUUUUUUCAAAUUUCUCCUUUUUAUUUCGUAUGUAAUGAACUGUGUUCGACCUGAUUUCUGUGGGAUACGUAGGCAACCCACAGAGGGUUCGGCCCUUUAGUUUUAAAUUUUCUUAAGUGUAUUUCAUGAAUUACGCUCAGCUUGAUUCCCUUGUCGGGAUACGUAGGUAGCCUAUGCAAGACUCGGUCUCAUCAUUACGGAAUGCAAUAUUUCUCUCAAGUCAAAACUGGGACAGUUUUUAAGGGCAUCAUUUCAAGAAAACGGUUGGGAAAAUAUCAAGAGAUAUUGAAGAAUGUGGGUUCAUCCAAGUAAUUGAAGGAAAAAAUAGAUAUUCGCUUGGGAUAAAGGAUGUUCGCAUUGUUUCACAAUUCAAAAGUUUGACAGAAUUUUUUAACAACUAUGCAUAUUUUAUUUACCAAGUUAUUUAUCACUCUUGUUUAUAUUUUAUUUUUAACAAUUUUCAAUCAAACUUUCUUUUUUAUAAUCUCACUUUAAUUUAUUUGGAACUAUGCAUGACUUUCAUUUUCUUCUAUGGCAACACACAAUUGCUUUCAAGUGCAUCAAAGAAAGGCUAUAUAGAAAUUCACUGCUUGCAAAAGUUAUUUUUUCAUAAAUUAUUGGCUUAGGAAAAAGUCUUCAUCCAUCAAUCAUUUCGCUGAAAAUGCCCCAUCUUCAUAACUUACUUGGUUUAAGGCCUCAUUUUCAUCGCUGAAAGACAUCAUUCUCAUGAAUCAUCGACCUAAACUUCAUUUUUUAUAAUCUUUGUUUCCAGCUUGAAAGACCGUAUUUGCAUAAACUAACGCCCGAGAGGCGUUAUUUUCAUUAAUUCACUAUAAAUGCAUUUACUAUUUAUGUACUAAUUUCUUUAUCUAGUUUAGAUUUUGCAGGAGUUUUAGCACAAACGUGGAGCUAUUUCUUAGCAGUGAACUAGGGUAAUUUGUUGGAAACGAGGAUCAGACUCCCAAAAAUUAUCAAGAGUCUAGCUCGAACUUUACUUGGCCCUACUUUCAAAUAUCUUACUUACAUCUAUACCUUGAUGAUCAAGUUCUCUCACUUCUAUAUUCUAUUUUCCUGAAUCAUCAUUUUUAGUGUCAUCAUAUUUCGACACUGGGACAAUCUUCUUAAGCUUGUGUCUACCCUUUUUCUAAUCUACAAGAAUUAAAAAUCUUGAACUACAUAUGACCUCAUUCUCAUGCAACCUGAGAUAUGUUGGCAGCUCGGAGAUCGGAGUUCAAUAACAAUCUUCCCUAACAUUCUCCAUACAUAUCCUCCUAGACCCUAUCAGCUGGGAUAAAAUUAGGUUACUAGUCAACUUCUUUAUCUGAAAAAUCUUUCAUCAUUUUUGAAUAAUUAGGGACAAAUGUUGAUACUCAAUUUUGCCCCGUCUUUUUUCAAGUCAUGUCUUUAAACUUCUAAUAAUUUUGGUAACUUAAAAAAUACAUGAGUGUAAUUUCUAUAAUUAGGAGUUCAUACCAGUCUUGCCACCAUUUAUAUUUUUUAAUUAAGAAUCAUCAAAAAUAUUAUUAUUAUUAUUAUCAUUAUUAUUUUUAUUAAUAUUUGUUACUAUUUUUAUUAUAUUUUUAUCGUCACAUUCCCUAUAAACUACCGCGUAAGGCAUUAUAUUUAUUUAAUCGAAUGAAGUAUUUUUGUGAUUUUAUAAUUUAUAAAUACUAUCGUUCAAUUUCAAAUUUAUCAUGCAACUUUGUUUCGAUACUUAUAUUUUAAUCUCGAAUGAUCUUUUAUUUAUUCGAAUAUUUUUAAAUAUGUUUUAUUAAAAAUGUUAUUUUAUGUUAAUUUAGAAGCCCAAAUAAUAUAAAAAAGAAAGUGUUUUAAAUCAGCCCAUGUUGCAAUAUUCAUGCAAUUCUGGCUCAAAUUCAGGCAUGAUCCACUAAAGCCCACCUUUUAUCUCCCUUCUUAUACCUCAGCACCACGUGGAUGCUAUGUUUGCGUCACAUAAGGCGCCAAACGGUCAUAACACACAUUAAACACACACUUGUUGCACUUCUCCCUCACCCUUGCACACACUCAGCACCCCCCCUCUUGCCGCAUGUCUCAUCCCAAAAGGUUGGUCAAAAAACAAUUGCAAAUUCAACUUCUUCCUUACCUUAAAUUGCCUAUUUUAACCCUACUUCCUUCACCUAGCAGUCUGUUUGGAUGGUGGUUUCCCAUGGUAUGGUUACCAUGGGAACCAUGUUUUUUUGAUUGUUUGCUAAAAGAAAUGGUAUGAUAUGAUAUUUUUCCAUGAUUUGAUAACCAUGGAAUCCAUCAAUUUCUUGAACCACCAAUUUGGUGGUAUGCUAUGGUUUUUUUUUUCCAACUNNNN